GUCAGUUUGCCAACACUCUGGUGCAAGACCAUACACCGUGUCAUGUUCCUAUUUUGGUGCAAACAAGAUUCAUAUUGCCGACUACUCACCGUGUCUUUCUAUUUUACUAAUGGCCAGUCUGGUCCCAUGAGAAGCUUUUUC
rnacentral:snoRNA from 1 species